GGUAGUGGGGCUGAGAGGUCUAAGGCGCUGGAUUUAGGCUCCAGUCUCUUCCGGGGUGUGGGUUCGAAUUCCACCGCUGCCA
rfam:Danio rerio chromosome 4, GRCz11 reference primary assembly.